GACGAACGCUGGCGGCGUGCUUAACACAUGCAAGUCGAACGGAAAGGCCCUGCUUUUGUGGGGUGCUCGAGUGGCGAACGGGUGAGUAGCACGUGAGUAACCUGCCCUUGACUUUGGGAUAACUUCAGGAAACUGGGGCUAAUACCGGAUAGGAGCUCCUGCUGCAUGGUGGGGGUUGGAAAGUUUCGGCGGUUGGGGAUGGACUCGCGGCUUAUCAGCUUGUUGGUGGGGUAGUGGCUUACCAAGGCUUUGACGGGUAGCCGGCCUGUGAGGGUGACCGGCCACAUUGGGACUGAGAUACGGCCCAGGCUGCUACGGGAGGCAGCAGGGGGGAAUAUUGCAGAACGGGCGGAAGCCUGAUGCAGCAACGCGGCGAGCGGGAUGACGGCGAUCGGUUUGUAAACCGCGUUCGCAUGUGACGAGGCGUGAGUGACGGUAAUGGGUAAAGAAGCACCGGCUAACUACGUG
rnacentral:rRNA from 1 species